CGUCACACUAUCAUUAACUGAAUCCAUAGGUUAAUGAGGCGAACCGGGGGAACUGAAACAUCUAAGUACCCCGAGGAAAAGAAAUCAACCGAGAUUCCCCCAGUAGCGGCGAGCGAACGGGGAGGAGCCCAGAGCCUGAAUCAGCAUGUGUGUUAGUGGAAGCGUCUGGAAAGGCGCGCGAUACAGGGUGACAGCCCCGUACACAAAAGCGCAUGUGCUGUGAGCUCGAUGAGUAGGGCGGGACACGUGGUAUCCUGUCUGAAUAUGGGGGGACCAUCCUCCAAGGCUAAAUACUCCUGACUGACCGAUAGUGAACCAGUACCGUGAGGGAAAGGCGAAAAGAACCCCGGCGAGGGGAGUGAAAAAGAACCUGAAACCGUGUACGUACAAGCAGUGGGAGCACCCUUUGGGUGUGACUGCGUACC
rnacentral:rRNA from 1 species